GUGCCUAAUACAUGCAAGUCGAAACGCUUUUUUCUUUUCACCCGGAGCUUUGCUCCACCGAAAAGAAAAAGAGUGGCGAACGGGUGAGUAACACGUGGGUAACCUGCCCAUCAGAAGGGGACAACACUUGGAAACAGGUGCUAAUUACCGUAUAACACUAUUUUCCGCAUGGAAGAAAGUUGAAAGGCGCUUUUGCGUCACUGAUGGAUGGACCCGCGGUGCAUUUAGCUAGUUGGUGAGGUAACGGCUCACCAAGGCAAACGAUGCCAUAGCCGACCCUGAAGAGGGUGAUCGGGCCACAACUGGGGAUGAGAACACGGGCCCCAGACUCCUUACGGGAGGCAGCAAGUAAGGGAAUCUUUCGGCCAAUGGACGAA
rnacentral:rRNA from 1 species